CUGCGUACUCGUCUCAGUGAGAACACACAAGCAGGCGAUGCUCGUGCGCUGAAGGAGCUGGCCAGGGUCUUAGUGCUUCACAGGAGGACAGUGAUGCCAUAUGCAGCCUACGCUCGGAAGCGGAAGGGUUCGAACGACGAGAAGGAAGUGGAGCAGUACGCUAGUCUGGUGGGCCAGACAUGUGCAGAGAGAAUCCUGCUCUACAGAGCCUAGAACAACCCCUUCUUACCUUACGACCAUCUGUCUUUCUUUCUCUCUGUUUGUCUUUGGAAACAUGUAAGAGUUUGUCCUCUUGUACACUUGUCUGUUUAUUGUCUUCCUGAUUGUUUAUUUGUCUGCUUUUCAUCUUUUUUUUUGUCUUCCAGAAGUCUUUUCCCCAUCUGUGUGUACAGUUUUGUUGGGUUUUUUUUUUUGUACUGCUGUGCAUUGCUUCACUCGCCCAGUCUUUCGUAAUCUCUUUGAACUCUACUUUUAUAUUUUCUGGCCAGCAUCGCUUUGUAAUAAUCACGCUCGCGCACAUGCAGCCGUUCAUGUGUUAUCUCAUAGUGUAUCCCAAAAUAUAACAACUCACCAAUCACAUCUUAACUAGCCGUAAAACAAGAAAUAAUGUACUAUAGGGCAUACUUUCAUUCUGAACCCGUUUGGCUGGGUACUUCUAGACCGUUGUGAACCGUUUGGCCUUUGGUGACAUAGAUCACUGCUUUCCAAAAGUCCUGAUAUUUCUGUUCUUCUGAAGUGGUGAUACUUUCCCGAGCAGGUGCUAUGACGCAUGGCUUUGCUGGAGGGUUAAAUCAAUCCAUUUUCCCGUGGAACAGAUUUGUCUUUUCUCGAUCGAAGUAAUAGCUUGAGUGCUUUUGUUUUAAUAUUAUUGUUUUGUUUCAAACUAAAUAAAAAAACGACAAAAAAACGAAAAGAUUUAA